rnacentral:rRNA from 1 species
CGGACGGGUGAGUACCACGUGGAUAACCUACCUAUAAGACUGGGAUAACUUCGGGAAACCGGAGCUAAUACCGGAUAAUAUUUUGAACCGCAUGGUUCAAAAGUGAAAGACGGUCUUGCUGUCACUUAUAGAUGGAUUCGCGCUGCAUUAGCUAGUUGGUAAGGUAACGGCUUACCAAGGCAACGAUGCAUAGCCGACCUGAGAGGGUGAUCGGCCACACUGGAACUGAGACACGGUCCAG